GGCCCGUUGGUCAAGCGGUUAAGACACCGCCCUUUCACGGUGGUAACACGGGUUCGAAUCCCGUACGGGUCA
rnacentral:tRNA from 1 species